rnacentral:rRNA from 1 species
UUAAGCGACUAAGCGUACACGGUGGAUGCCCUGGCAGUCAGAGGCGAUGAAGGACGUGCUAAUCUGCGAUAAGCGUCGGUAAGGUGAUAUGAACCGUUAUAACCGGCGAUUUCCGAAUGGGGAAACCCAGUGUGAUUCGUCACACUAUCAUUAACUGAAUCCAUAGGUUAAUGAGGCGAACCGGGGGAACUGAAACAUCUAAGUACCCCGAGGAAAAGAAAUCAACCGAGAUUCCCCCAGUAGCGGCGAGCGAACGGGGAGCAGCCCAGAGCCUGAAUCAGUGUGUGUGUUAGUGGAAGCGUCUGGAAAGGCGCGCGAUACAGGGUGACAGCCCCGUACACAAAAAUGCACAUGCUGUGAGCUCGAUGAGUAGGGCGGGACACGUGGUAUCCUGUCUGAAUAUGGGGGGACCAUCCUCCAAGGCUAAAUACUCCUGACUGACCGAUAGUGAACCAGUACCGUGAGGGAAAGGCGAAAAGAACCCCGGCGAGGGGAGUGAAAAAGAACCUGAAACCGUGUACGUACAAGCAGUGGGAGCACGCUUAGGCGUGUGACUGCGUACCUUUUGUAUAAUGGGUCAGCGACUUAUAUUCUGUAGCAAGGUUAACCGAAUAGGGGAGCCGAAGGGAAACCGAGUCUUAACUGGGCGUUAAGUUGCAGGGUAUAGACCCGAAACCCGGUGAUCUAGCCAUGGGCAGGUUGAAGGUUGGGUAACACUAACUGGAGGACCGAACCGACUAAUGUUGAAAAAUUAGCGGAUGACUUGUGGCUGGGGGUGAAAGGCCAAUCAAACCGGGAGAUAGCUGGUUCUCCCCGAAAGCUAUUUAGGUAGCGCCUCGUGAAUUCAUCUCCGGGGGUAGAGCACUGUUUCGGCAAGGGGGUCAUCCCGACUUACCAACCCGAUGCAAACUGCGAAUACCGGAGAAUGUUAUCACGGGAGACACACGGCGGGUGCUAACGUCCGUCGUGAAGAGGGAAACAACCCAGACCGCCAGCUAAGGUCCCAAAGUCAUGGUUAAGUGGGAAACGAUGUGGGAAGGCCCAGACAGCCAGGAUGUUGGCUUAGAAGCAGCCAUCAUUUAAAGAAAGCGUAAUAGCUCACUGGUCGAGUCGGCCUGCGCGGAAGAUGUAACGGGGCUAAACCAUGCACCGAAGCUGCGGCAGCGACGCUUAUGCGUUGUUGGGUAGGGGAGCGUUCUGUAAGCCUGUGAAGGUGUGCUGUGAGGCAUGCUGGAGGUAUCAGAAGUGCGAAUGCUGACAUAAGUAACGAUAAAGCGGGUGAAAAGCCCGCUCGCCGGAAGACCAAGGGUUCCUGUCCAACGUUAAUCGGGGCAGGGUGAGUCGACCCCUAAGGCGAGGCCGAAAGGCGUAGUCGAUGGGAAACAGGUUAAUAUUCCUGUACUUGGUGUUACUGCGAAGGGGGGACGGAGAAGGCUAUGUUGGCCGGGCGACGGUUGUCCCGGUUUAAGCGUGUAGGCUGGUUUUCCAGGCAAAUCCGGAAAAUCAAGGCUGAGGCGUGAUGACGAGGCACUACGGUGCUGAAGCAACAAAUGCCCUGCUUCCAGGAAAAGCCUCUAAGCAUCAGGUAACAUCAAAUCGUACCCCAAACCGACACAGGUGGUCAGGUAGAGAAUACCAAGGCGCUUGAGAGAACUCGGGUGAAGGAACUAGGCAAAAUGGUGCCGUAACUUCGGGAGAAGGCACGCUGAUACGUAGGUGAAGUCCCUCGCGGAUGGAGCUGAAAUCAGUCGAAGAUACCAGCUGGCUGCAACUGUUUAUUAAAAACACAGCACUGUGCAAACACGAAAGUGGACGUAUACGGUGUGACGCCUGCCCGGUGCCGGAAGGUUAAUUGAUGGGGUUAGCGCAAGCGAAGCUCUUGAUCGAAGCCCCGGUAAACGGCGGCCGUAACUAUAACGGUCCUAAGGUAGCGAAAUUCCUUGUCGGGUAAGUUCCGACCUGCACGAAUGGCGUAAUGAUGGCCAGGCUGUCUCCACCCGAGACUCAGUGAAAUUGAACUCGCUGUGAAGAUGCAGUGUACCCGCGGCAAGACGGAAAGACCCCGUGAACCUUUACUAUAGCUUGACACUGAACAUUGAGCCUUGAUGUGUAGGAUAGGUGGGAGGCUUUGAAGUGUGGACGCCAGUCUGCAUGGAGCCGACCUUGAAAUACCACCCUUUAAUGUUUGAUGUUCUAACGUUGACCCGUGAUCCGGGUUGCGGACAGUGUCUGGUGGGUAGUUUGACUGGGGCGGUCUCCUCCUAAAGAGUAACGGAGGAGCACGAAGGUUGGCUAAUCCUGGUCGGACAUCAGGAGGUUAGUGCAAUGGCAUAAGCCAGCUUGACUGCGAGCGUGACGGCGCGAGCAGGUGCGAAAGCAGGUCAUAGUGAUCCGGUGGUUCUGAGUGGAAGGGCCAUCGCUCAACGGAUAAAAGGUACUCCGGGGAUAACAGGCUGAUACCGCCCAAGAGUUCAUAUCGACGGCGGUGUUUGGCACCUCGAUGUCGGCUCAUCACAUCCUGGGGCUGAAGUAGGUCCCAAGGGUAUGGCUGUUCGCCAUUUAAAGUGGUACGCGAGCUGGGUUUAGAACGUCGUGAGACAGUUCGGUCCCUAUCUGCCGUGGGCGCUGGAGAACUGAGGGGGGCUGCUCCUAGUACGAGAGGACCGGAGUGGACGCAUCACUGGUGUUCGGGUUGUCAUGCCAAUGGCACUGCCCGGUAGCUAAAUGCGGAAGAGAUAAGUGCUGAAAGCAUCUAAGCACGAAACUUGCCCCGAGAUGAGUUCUCCCUGACCCUUUAAGGGUCCUGAAGGAACGUUGAAGACGACGACGUUGAUAGGCCGGGUGUGUAAGCGCAGCGAUGCGUUGAGCUAACCGGUACUAAUGAACCGUGAGGCUUAACCUU